UUUACAACCGCGUUAACUUACUUUCGACACUAAAAAUCGUCCACUGUGAACGAUACGCGUUUGUCUCCGGAGCAAUGUGACGUGGUGCAAACGACUUGACUCGCCUUCGAUUCUUGAUCCGCUUCGAUUCUCGAAGUUGCGUGGUGGCGCCACAGUCACGCACUUCGCGAGUAGCAGUCAGUUGCCAAACGUUUGUGCACGUAGUGUGGUUGAUUGUCCGAUUCGAAAUGGAUCUUUUGAAGAAAGAAACCCACGCAUUCUGCAAUAAAUUACGUUAUUUUGACGUUUUGAGGUUAUCUAUCGCGUGUUGAUUAUCUGUUUCAUUCGUAUUUCAUUGGUUUGAAUUUCCUUCGAAGACAAUUGAAGAGUUGCGGUUAAGGGAAUAUUUUGGACACAAGAGCGGUAAAUGACGCCAGGAAGCUACUACUCAUCGGAUCUGCAAAAUGAAGCAAGAACCAGAAGAAGUCAUCCAACUCGAACCGA